CUCAAAGCAAAAAUCGCCUCGUAUCUCGAAAAACUCGUUAGUCGGGACACUUGUAAGUCAAGGCCCCACUGUAUUUGAAACAUGAUUAGUUGAAGGCAAAAGGAUUGUCAGGAAAACUUUAUGUAUUAUAUAAUCUGGGGCUGGAGUCAUGGAAUUUUAUAAGUACAUUUACCUCCAGAUGUGACCAUCUAAAGAGAUGUAUUUUAGAAAUCACUGUGUUUGUUUCUAGACUAGGAGAACAAACACGGGAUUCUUACUGCUUUGACAGAAGUCCUCUUAAGGGAGAAGGAAAGGAACUGGGGAUUUUGAUCUGAAACAAGUCUACUCAGAGGCCAUGAUAGCUGUUUCCAAAUUUUAACCCUCACGAUAUAAAAGAAUUUAUUUUAAUCUAUUGUCUCCAAAAACUGGAAUCAAGAGCCGUGGGUGAAAACUCACCUUUUUCUGGUCUGUGGACGACUUUCUGUUGAGCUGGAUGAGCACUGUGACCUUGAACCAGAAUGUUUGGUCUCCAGUCCCAGCUCCGUCAUGUGCUAGAAGACUCACUUUGGGCAAAUCAUUUCACUUUUAUAUGCAUCAGUUUUCUCUCUUAAACCAUGUGGCUAUUGGUAAUUCCUCAAUAUUUUUUUGUGUUGGUGAGGGUUCAAAUAAAAACACAUACAUGAAGAUGCUUUGGAAAAAAUAGAAAGCCACCAUGCGUGUGUGUUUUGUUGUUUUGUCACAGCUGGCUAAUCCUCCUUGGGGGUAUCUUAGGAGUUUCAAACAAUGUCCUGGUGGUUACACUGCAUUAAAAAUUCAAGACGUUUCUACCUUAAGACUCACUGGAUGGUUGCCCUGAGGUUUAGGGCCUGGCAUUGUGCCUUACCAGUCAUUGAGCAGGUUAAGGGAGACCAGGUAACCUCAUUUAGUAGCAAUGAGUGGGGGGAGGGACCUGGUAGGUGAGGAGGGAGUGCAGGCUUCAGGGGCGUGUCUCUGUUGUAGAGUGUGGAUUCCUCAGGCUGGGCCACUGUCCUGGCGGUGAUCUGGCUGCAUGACAAGUAUAAGGACAUGAAGUGCGAGUGGGAGCUUCUGGAACGGAAAGCUGUGGCCUGGAUUCACAGCCAUGCAGGCUCCGCCACGGAUGGGCUGGUGAAAGCUGCUGUGGGCUUUCUGAAGUCAUCGGUGGAUCCUGCCGUCUUUGCCCCCUGAGGAUCCCGGCCAGAAACACACGUGCCUCCUUCGUGCUCCUGUCCCCGCCUGAACCCUCAGUCUUCCAGAACGUGAUCUUGUCUUGUAUGCCUCUCCUGUCAGUUUCCUGUAAUAAAAGUCAACAAUGCCCGCCCCACCUUUCCUCCAGGUUCCAGGUUCCCUCCUGAUAUGACAUCCUUUCCCCAGCAUGUGCCCUCAGCCAGGCAUCAUGGCCCCAGACCUGUUCUCUUUCUGGAAGGAGUUCAGAGGCAGUGAGGUCCCUCCCGGGUUUUUCAGAGUGACGACAUGAGAAACGAGGGGUGUGGACUCUAGGCUACAGGUUGCUGGGUUGAUGUUAGGGAUUGCCUGGAUUGGAAAGUUCUCCGAAUUAUUUUUUGUCUAUUCAGUAUUGCUUUUGGGGACUUAUGAGGACAAGACUGGUGAGCUAUCCAGUUUUCUAUUCUUAGGUAGAAUAAAGAGGUGGAAGGGCAGUUGACAGCCAACAUUGGGAUCCACAUAACCUCCACAUGAGGUUCAAGGGUCCACUGUGAGGGUUGGCACUGUUGGGGACCUUCUUGGUCGAUUCUGCCUGGGUCUUGUUAGCUUAUACUUCCCGCUUCCCCUCAUACUGCCCAAGGGUUGAGUGGUAGCUGUGGGAGACAGAUGUUCUUCUUAAUCAGGAUGCAUCUUAGUAAGAGGGCCAUCAUGGGAUCCUUCGUCCUGGCCUGACCCGUGAGGCCUCUGAAUCGGGCUCUGAUCUAGUAUACUUUUAUAAAAUCAGGGCUAAAGGCAGCUUUGCCUGAGACCCAAAACCUGGGCCACUUACCCCAAGAGAAAGAAAGGAGCUCCCAGUGAUCAUGCCUGACCUUGCAGUCCCACACACUCUAUCCUAGUGGAAGGGGCCCUAUUGGAUGUGUUGUUCCCUAACAUACUGCUGUAUCAAUAUUAAAAUGACACUUGGUUGUAUCUGA